rnacentral:rRNA from 1 species
GGAAUCAUUGGGCGUAAAGCGCGCGUAGGCGGCUCGAUAAGUCUGCUGUGAAAGUCAAAGGCUCAACCUUUGAAAGCCGGUGGAAACUGUCGAGCUAGAGUCCGGAAGAGGCGAGUGGAAUUCCUGGUGUAGCGGUGGAAUGCGCAGAUAUCAGGAAGAACACCAACGGCGAAGGCAGCUCGCUGGGACGGUACUGACGCUAAGGCGCGAAAGCGUGGGGAGCAAACAGGAUUAGAUACCCUGGUAGUCCACGCCGUAAACGAUGGGCACUAGGUGUGGGAGGUGUCGACUCCUCCCGUGCCGACGCUAACGCAUUAAGUGCCCCGCCUGGGGAGUACGGCCGCAAGGCUAAAACUCAAAUGAAUUGACGGA